rnacentral:rRNA from 1 species
UACGUAGGGGGCUAGCGUUGUCCGGAAUCAUUGGGCGUAAAGCGCGUGUAGGCGGUCCGUUAAGUCCGCUGUGAAAGUCGGGGGCUCAACCCUCGGAUGCCGGUGGAUACUGUCGGGCUUGAGUACGGAAGAGGCGAGUGGAAUUCCUGGUGUAGCGGUGAAAUGCGCAGAUAUCAGGAGGAACACCGAUUGCGAAGGCAGCUCGCUGGAACGUUACUGACGCUGAGACGCGAAAGCGUGGGGAGCAAACAGG